AAUGAACGCUGGCGGCAUGCCUUACACAUGCAAGUCGAACGGCAGCAUGAUCUAGCUUGCUAGGUUGAUGGUGAGUGGCGAACGGGUGAGUAAUGCAUAGGAACGUGUCUUUUUGUGGGGGAUAACGUAGAGAAAGUUACGCUAAUAUCGCAUAUUCUCUGAGGCGGAAAGCGGGGGAGCUUGGGGCCUUGCGCUAGAAGAGAGGCGGCUGUCGGAUUAGCUAGUUGGUGAGGUAAAGGUUCCCAAAGGCUACGAUCUGCUGCGGAUCUGAGAGGAUGAGCCGCCACACUGGGACUGAGACAAGGCCCAGAGUCCUACGGGAGGCAGCAGGGGGGAAUUUUGAACAAUGGGCGGAAGCCAGAUCCAGCCGUGCCGCGUGAUGGAAGAAGGCCUUCGGGUUGUAAAGCUCUUUCGUCGGGGAAGAAACCGCACCCGCUAAUACAGAAGUGGGAUGACGGUACCUGCAUAAAAAGCACCGGCUAACUUCGUG
rnacentral:rRNA from 1 species